GCGCCGACUGCGUCUGCGCGAGCCUUCCCGAGGUUGGACCGGAGGAGCCACCGCGGGAGGUGGACCGAGUGUCUUGGAGCAGUCCGCCGGCAGAUGUAGGCGGCCUUCUUGAAUAGUGUGAGGGCCAGGACGCGAGGCCCUCUGCAUUUUUAAGGCCUUCAGAUUUCUGCGGCCGGCUGGACCCGAUGCACGUAGGCCUGGACCCUUCCCACUGCUGAGCCAACGGGAACGUGGAACCUCUGUGGAUCUUCCAAUAGAGAGCGCUCGGCCGUGGGCAGGCGGGGCCUCUGAGCCUCGGAGCACCUGGAGCCCAGCACCGGAGGCAAAUUUUGCUUAAUGAAGCAGAUGUAAGCAGUCACCUUGUUUGGGCCUGUUCUUCUUUGCCAGUCUCUUCAAAUUCAUCACCGCCGUGCACUGUGCCUCCAGGCUCAGAUCCUGCUGGAAAAAAAAAAAUCACAUGAAUUUUCGUUGGUAGAUUCACUACCUGAACAACUCCCUGCCAAAACCUCUGCUGGGAGCAAUACAAAAACUGGCUAAUCUCCUCAAGGCUGGCCAGGCCCCAGGCCUCAGGAUGAACCCAAGUGUUCCACCUGCUGUGCUGGCUAGACUCCCAGCAAGUGCAGCACCGUCCACUGUGCCUUUCAGACCACCACCAACAGGAAUAUUUCCUUCCAUCCCCCUAGCUGGACUACUGCCAAGACCCCCAGCACCCUUUCUUCCUUCUGGACCAUCAUGUCCCCAACCUAGAGGUCCUUACCCAGCCUCUGCCAUACGAGGCCCCGGCCCCACAGGGCCAUAUGCUACACCAAAUAUGCACUUUCCAGAGCUACCUAGGCCAAAUAGUGCACCCACAGAUCCAGCUGCAGCUGGUACUUUAGGUCCACGGGGACUUGUGCCUUCUGGACCUUGGGCACCAGGAAUAGGAGGGCAGCAUCAUAAUAUGCCAUAUCUGUCUCCAGGGCCAUAUCCUACUCCUUCUCCUCCUCCAUUGUCAGGACCACCGCCUGUUCCAUGGGGCAGAGUGUCACCAGGACCCUGGGGACCACCAGCACCAUAUCCUGCCCCUACAGGAUCAUAUCCUACCCCAGGACUCCAUCCUACUCUGAAUGAUCCUUACCAAGCGUCUCCAGGACCUUCUGAUGCUCCGCCAAUGCCUGCUGAGCCCCAGAAAAUAAAUGAAGUCCCUGAUGGCUCCCAUUCUGAUACAUCCAACCAGGAGAGCACCCCGGAAACCACUGGACAGGCAAAGCACCUGAAGGUAGACAACAAGCCAAUCAAGAGGAGACGGUCUAAGAAAAAGAGUAAGCCAGUAACCUGGGGCGAUAUCAAGACUUUAACUCAUGAAGCUGAGACUCUGGGGAAACAGCAAGGAUAUAAUACUACUGACCCCAAAAUGAUGCUGUUAUGUUUGAUGACUAUAUUACAUGUUAAUUCUCAGCGUGAAAAUGUAGACCUCAAAUGACUUUUUUCGGGGGGUAAGAGGCAUACCUGUAAUAAAUAGUAUGAUGUUGUUUUGCCAAAAAAAAAAAAAAAAGCCCCCCCCCCAGUCAACAUUUUUGUUCUGGGCUUUGUCCAAUUUUGCAAGCUUUGUUGUUUGUGGGGUACCUUCAAGGGAAAGUUAGGUCUUCCAAUUUCAGCAGGAUACCAACCAGCAUCAAGUUCUGGCCUGCUCUGGAUGCAGAACACAGAAGCAGUAACAGCCAAAGGCUUGACAGCAGCCUUAGUUCCCAUUAGGAUCUGCCCCUGUCCUUCCAGAUCAGUGGUCAGGGCCGCAGCCCUUUCAUGGUUGGUGGUGAAGACCAGGCCUGAACCACUUAGCACUGAGACUCACUGGAAAUGAAGCCUUCCUGAAGGGAUGGGCACCUGCCUCUCCUGGGUGCUAGGAGGUUUAGUCUCUCAGGCCUGUCACCCUUCCAAUUAGACACUCACAAGUUUCCUUGGUUGGCGUGGCAGGGUUCUGGAGUCCCCCAGCAUAGCCAGAGUUGCCUCAGGGAGGCUUCCCUCUUCAAAUGCCACGUGCACCUUCUGUGUGGCAUGUGCUGGUGGCCUCAGGCAUAACUGUGUUAGGAGGAAAAUGCAAUGGCAGGAAACCUGUCUCCAGAGAUGGUGAAGAGAUUCACCACAGGGUGGCGCUCUUGUACUCCAUUGUAAAGGAAUUUUUUUUCAAGUCAACUUGAUAUACAAGCUGGAGUCAUACAGAAAGAGGAGCCUCAACUGAGAAAAUGUCUUUACCAGAUUGCCUCUAGAGUUGGUUCCUUCUUGCUGAAGCACACCCGUUAGCAGUUCUCUUGUGAGGUUUGGAUAUGAAAACUCUUUGUACUUCCUGCACUGCAGCAUGAAGUGGGAAUAGAAUCCACCCGGAAGCCAUCACUGCUCAUGGAGGUCUGCAGCUGUUCUGGUGAGAUCUGGUCCAUUGAUGUUCAUUUUGGUGGGUCUGUCUUGGCUCUGGUAACAGAGCUUCACCAUCUUCCUAGAAAUGGGGAAGCUGCCUCAAGGCUAUUCUCCAGGACUCGGUCCUGCACCCAGGGGACUCAUCACCCCUCAGAGACACAUGGUAGCUAGAACUGUCUCUACCCGUCAGAAAGCAGACAUUGUAUGUGUGCUGUUGGUAGUACACUGUCUAAGUUCCUUCAUGUUCUAGAGUUUAUCCCUAC